CAGCAGCCACGGGAAUACGUAGGGUGCGAGCGUUAAUCGGAAUUACUGGGCGUAAAGCGUGCGCAGGCGGUUUUGUAAGACAGAGGUGAAAUCCCCGGGCUCAACCUGGGAACUGCCUUUGUGACUGCAAGGCUAGAGUACGGCAGAGGGGGAUGGAAUUCCGCGUGUAGCAGUGAAAUGCGUAGAUAUGCGGAGGAACACCGAUGGCGAAGGCAAUCCCCUGGGCCUGUACUGACGCUCAUGCACGAAAGCGUGGGGAGCAAACAGGAUUAGAUACCCCCGUAGUCCCUGUCUCUUAUAC
rnacentral:rRNA from 1 species